GUCUACGGCCAUACCACCCUGAACGCGCCCGAUCUCGUCUGAUCUUGGAAGCUAAGCAGGGUCGGGCCUGGUUAGUACUUGGAUGGGAGAAAAUCAGGGGAUCUGGUGACCCUGGGCC
ensembl:rRNA 5S_rRNA 5S ribosomal RNA